GCGGGCUACCUACAAGAAAUUAUCAUGAAUCUGGAGAAUAAAGAGGGAGAGAGUUCCAGGAUUCAUCUUUCUUCAAAUAUUGUUCCACAAGUAACUAUAGCCUUCGUGGAUUUAUCCUCCUCAACACAAUUUUUCAUCCAAACGUGAUAUAAAAUAACCUUAAAAAACAAGGCAGAACUCAACAAUUUUUUUUGUUUUCCUUCUUUU
rnacentral:misc_RNA from 1 species